GACGAACGCUGGCGGCGUGCUUAACACAUGCAAGUCGAGCGAUGAAGUUUCUUCGGAAAUGGAUUAGCGGCGAACGGGUGAGGAACACGUGAAGAAUCUGCCCUCCACUUUGGGAUAACACCGGGAAACCGGUGCUAAUACUGAAUAUUGAAACAUAAGUGGCAUCACUGAGUUUUGAAAGAAUUUCGGUGGAGGAUGACUUCGCGGCCUAUCAGCUAGUUGGUGAGGUAAUGGCUCACCAAGGCAACGACGGGUAGCCGGCCUGAGAGGGCGACCGGCCACACUGGGACUGAGACACGGCCCAGACUCCUACGGGAGGCAGCAGUGGGGAAUAUUGGGCAAUGGAGGAAACUCUGACCCAGCGACGCCGCGUGCGGGAUGAAGGCCUUCGGGUUGUAAACCGCUUUCAGUAGGGAAGAAGCGAAAGUGACGGUACCUACAAAAGAAGCACCGGCUAACUAUGUGCCAGCAGCCGCGGUAAUACAUAGGGUGCAAGCGUUGUCCGGAAUUAUUGGGCGUAAAGAGCUCGUAGGUCGUUUGUUACGUCGGAUGUGAAAACCUGAGGCUCAACCUCAGGCCUGCAUUCGAUACGGGCAAACUAGAGUUUGGUAGGGGAGACUGGAAUUCCUGGUGUAGCGGUGGAAUGCGCAGAUAUCAGGAGGAACACCAAUGGCGAAGGCAGGUCUCUGGGCCAAUACUGACACUGAGGAGCGAAAGUCUGGGGAGCGAACAGGAUUAGAUACCCUGGUAGUCCAGACCGUAAACGGUGGGCACUAGUUGUGGGAACCUUCCACGGUUUCUGCGACGCAGCUAACGCAUUAAGUGCCCCGCCUGGGGAGUACGAUCGCAAGACUAAAACUCAAAGGAAUAGACGGGGACCCGCACAAGCGGUGGAGCAUGUGGUUUAAUUCGACGGUAAGCGUAGAACCUUACCUGGGCUUGAAAGGUAGCUGCAAGGCCGGGAAAGCGGC
rnacentral:rRNA from 1 species